GAUGAACGCUGGCGGCGCGCCUAACACAUGCAAGUCUAACGAUUAAAGCACCUUCGGGUGUGUAUAAAGUGGCGAACGGCUGAGUAACACGUGGGCAACCUGCCCCUUUCAUUGGGAUAGCCACGGGAAACCGUGGAUAAUACCGAAUACUUCGAGACUUCCGCAUGGAAGACUCGAGAAAGCUCCGGCGGAGAGGGAUGGGCCCGCGGCCUGUUAGCUUGUUGGUGGGGUAACGGCCUACCAAGGCAAUGAUGGGUAGCUGGGUUGAGAGACCGACCAGCCAGAUUGGGACUGAGACACGGCCCAGACUCCUACGGGAGGCAGCAGUAGGGAAUCUUGCACAAUGGGCGAAAGCCUGAUGCAGCGACGCCGCGUGCGGGAUGAAGGCCUUCGGGUUGUAAACCGCUUUCAGCAGGGACGAGGCGAAAGUGACGGUACCUGCAGAAGAAGCCCCGGCUAACUACGUG
rnacentral:rRNA from 1 species